rnacentral:rRNA from 1 species
CCAGGUUGAUUCUGCCUGACGUAGACGCUAUUCCCUAAGAUUAACCCAUGCAUGUUUUUGACAUUUGAAAAAUGGACUGCUCAGUAAUACUCACUUUAUUUUAUGUACAUUUGAAAUUAACUACGUUAAAGUGUAGAUAAGAUGUGUACAGUAAGAGUGAGACCUAUCAGCUAGUUGUUAAGGUAAUGGCUUAACAAGGCAGUGACGGGUAACGGUAUUACUUUGUAAUAUUCCGGAGAAGGAGCCUGAGAGACGGCUACUAAGUCUAAGGAUUGCAGCAGGGGCGAAACUUGACCUAUGGAUUUUAUCUGAGGCAGUUAUGGGAAGUAAUAUUAUAUUGUUUCAUAUUUUAAAAGUAUAUGAGGUGAUUAAUUGGAGGGCAAAUCAAGUGCCAGCAGCCGCGGUAAUACUUGUUCCAAGAGUGUGUAUGAUGAUUGAUGCAGUUAAAAAGUCCGUAGUUUAUUUAUAAGAAGCAAUAUGAGGUGUACUGUAUAGUUGGGAGAGAGAUGAAAUGUGACGACCCUGACUGGACGAACA